ensembl:lncRNA
CCCCCCCCCCCCACACACACACACCCUGCCCCGUCUCCAGUCCUGGGGCUGAGACUCUAGGGGCUCCAUCCUGAUCUUCUGUCAGAAAAAAAUACUUCUCCUGACUCCACCACCUUUUACCUAGUUGAUCCUGGAGCUGCCGUGCUCCUCAGGAGUUGUUUUGGGUGUUGGGAGCUGGGAGGUCAGCCUAGUUACAGACCGGAUUGUGGGGGUGGAGACUGAGGGAUCGAGGAGCCUGGAGGAGCAGAUGAUGGCACCGGGAGCGGGAGCGGUGGGGAGAAGGCACAGUCUUGGAGACCAUGCUCUGAGAUCCUGAGUGGGCUCGCAGGAUUACAGAUACCCAGUCCAGUCUCUUCCACGAUGACUGCCGCACCGAGCCCACAGGGGCAGAAAGCCCAGCACCCUCAGCUCCUCUCUGAUUUCCUUCUCUGCAGAGACCCCCUGGCAUUAUGAGAGUGGAAGUGCACCGGGGUCUAAAAGCAAAACCCAGAACUUCCACUGUGGUCUUGUUGCCUGACUUUCCUUGACAGAGGAAAUGAAGCCUUGCAUCACAGAACGAAGGCAAAGCCUCCUGAAGCAGACUUGGUAGCGCACGUGGUGGUAUGCUAUGACUGAUGGAAAGUGCAGAUGGGAAUUCACAUCUGACAACACUGACCACACCAUGAUCUCAAGGGCCUGCAGAUGGGGACAGAAAGCGUUACAAGACACAUUUUUAAAAUCAGGCUUUUGUCCUUGGAACUCCCAAGUGGACAGAGAAAAAGAGCUGCCCUCCCCAACCCCAACUCUCUCAGCUCCAGGAAACGGGACUGCUUUACCCCCAGUGAGAAGUGCUGGAGCACAGGAAACAGGAAAGAACUUGUCCCUAGCACCUGAGUUUCUUAAUUCGUCUUGGGGGCAGAGGAGAGAAUGAUCCUGUGGAGCAGAGCUUCUCAAAGCAUGGUGCACAGAGAAUCGAGGGGUCCCUGAGACUCAUACUCCGAGCACACGUAGCCUUACCCUGAUCACCCACAAACUCAGGUUCUAGCCACUGGAUACACAUCCACCCUGGGACCACAGCCUUGUGUUCCGCCACAGGCCACACAGAGUUGAGCUAUUAAUGUACUUGGAGAACAUCUGCAACAAGAAUGAAAGAUGGGUGAUCUUAAACAUUCUUGACGCAUUUCAGAUUUUAAAGGAAGAUAUCUUCAUUUUCACCCAUAUUAUUACUGCUGCUGCUGCUAAGUCACUUCAGUCGUGUCUGACUCUGUGCGACCCCAUAGAUGGCAGCCCACCAGGCUCCCCUAUCCCUAGGAUUCUCCAGGUUUCCAAUAAAUCUUCCUGCCAGGGCAGGCCUAUCUCAGCAUCCCUCUUGAGUGCGACCAGAUAACAUUUGUAUUUCCAGUAAAGCCAGAGUACAGGAAGGGUCAAGGCUACCCUGGGGGCUGGAGUGUAAUGGAUUCAAGAAAAUGCCAACGUGAAGGAUUUAUUUGGAGUAACAGAAGUGGAGCUACUUGGCAAACUGCACUUCCUCACUUGGAAACUCUGUGGUGCUACCUAAAGGUAGGAGCAGGGAAGUGAUGUCUGGGACCCAAGAAUCACCUCGGGGGGCUAGAGUCAUCUUGCACCCAAUACUGCAUGUAGCACAUGGCCCAACAGGCUGGGAAAUCCAGGAAUCCAUCAGUCUUUGUCUCUGGAAACCCAAACGGACAACUUUAAUGACACACAUUUGAUGGAAGCCAAAGCACAGAGGGUGGUUAUUUUUAGCUUGGGGCAGGAAAAGGUGGCUGGAAAGGAAACAUCUGUCCCAAACUAUUGAUUGUUGCACUUUCCAUGGAGGUCUUUUCUUUCUUAAAACCAUCACAUAAAAUAAGGUGGUUGGUUGGGGCCUGGCUCUGGGAACAUUUCUCCCUUCACCCCUCUCCUACUGCUUAUCUUCUGAGUUAGGGCUACGCCUAAAAGAGACCACCUCAGAGGCGGCGGGUCGGGGGAAUGGGUCAAGGACAGCCCAAUUCCUAUGAAUUUUUCGGACUCCUCCUAGUUCACCAUCUUCAUCCAAGAUGGCCCCACCCUUUAGGGUACAAAUUUUGCAGACUUCCCAGCUGGGAAUCACCAGAGGUCUCAGGCUGUGAGAAUCAGACCUCUGAGAGCCAGAACACUCUCCUCGGCUGUGCUGGUGUCAGACCUUUGAGCAGAGUUGUUCUUUCUUCCAUAACAGCGAGAAACUUCCCUUUCCUUCAAAACAUGGCAGCCUCCUGUAUGCCGUCUGAGGGGGAGGAUAGGGGCAGGUGUGCCCGCAAGGAGGCAGGGAGCUCUUUUCGCCUCAGCAGAAGCAUUUUCCAUUUCUGAGCACACACAGCAAGGCUGAAUGGAGCCACAGAGGCUCAGGAUGGAUAACGUGAAGGAAGUAGAGAGGCAGAACACUGUGCUCGGGCUGAGCAUGGCCGGGACUCAGCAGCUCUGUUCCUGUGGACAACGGCAUGAAAAUGGCUCCUCCGGAAGUGGCCGCAGUGCAGAAGGGGAGGAGCAAGACCCAGUGUGUCGGUGGUUGAGGGGUUUCCAGCCUUGUGUCUUGGAAAACUAACCAAAAUAGUGCUGCUGUGUUCUUUCUUUCCCUCCUUUCUUUCUCUCUCUCUCAAUUCCUUCCUGUUUUCGGCCCAAGACUGGACUCGAGGACAAACAAUCGCCUUCCUGAUUGAGCAGACUCUUGCCAGGAGCAAUGACAAAGGAUGAAGAAGAAGAAAAGAGCCUCCAUGGGUCCACUCCUUCCCUCUCCUGGGGCAGUCCCGGCAGAACAGUGUCUGAGCAGGAGGGCUUGGAGGGUGUGAAACGGGAUUGCUAAAUUGCCUAAGUCUCUAAAAAGAUCCAUAUGUCUGGGCGGCAUCAGGCUUCUGAGCUCAGGGAGGGGCCGAAAACGUCAUCUGCUGGACGGGCGUCCGGUUCUCUUCCUUUGGGGAGGAUUCCAUGUCAGUAUGACUAGAAGUUGUUAGACUUCAUGAUGACCCAGGUUGGGAACUCGGGGUGCAAGUGUUUGGGGUGUGGAGGAAGGGAGAGGGACAGAGAGUAAAUGGGAGUAAAUAAACCGGAAAGGUGAAGUUUCUAAGCUCGGGUCUGUGAAAUAUUUAGUAGGGAAAGAGUUUGGAAACCCCAGCAUAUUGACUUUUUUCUUUGAAAUUUUUUCUCAUGCCAGGAGAGUUUUGGGGGGAGCCACUGUGCAGUUGGAUGUUGGGCCAUUUGCCUACUACGUGGGAAGUCUAGAUGCCUAUUCCCAUAACUAACCCUCCAGAGCCAACGAAGAGUCACUCUCUUCCCCCUCACAUCUUUAACCUCCAAACUGCAGCUUCCUUCGGGGUAGGGGGUGGCAGAUGGCACACAGCUGUGGGACGCAUCUGGUCUUGCAGGGAUCAGAGGGAGGCGCAAAGACCAGUUGGAAUCCCAGUGGCUACCCCAGAGGCAUGGCUCCGAAGAUUUGGGGUGGUGCCCCUGACACUCUACCUAGAUCCCAUCUUGGACAGAUUUUCUGCGUUUCCUUAGUCCCCCACACCUCUUCUCUGCUCUGACUUCAACUGGAUCAGACAGAGAAGAUUUUGUGAGAGUGGGGAGGCAGCUGCUUCCCAGAUGUGUGUCUUCAGAAAUGGCCAUAUCCAAACACGGGAGCUUUGAGAGGAUUGGUUGGGGUGGGACUUGGGAGAUUCCUCUGAGGAUGUCCUAACCUGGGAGAGCUAGCACAGCAGUCGUCUGAAGACCCCAGAGUGAAGCUGGAGGACUGGAACUGGAGAAAGAAUGGCAAGGCCCUGGAGUGUUCUCAGCUCUUCUCUCCAAAACUCUGUGUCCAAACAUAUGACUUUAGUCAUUUGCCAGCUAAUCUGACUCACUGUGUGUGUGUUUGCUUCACAACUAGAACAUAGUCUUCUCCAAGGAGGUCUUGAGUCUGCCACACAGCUUGUCAGUAACUCCCCUGUUCCUGCAUUUCUCACUUGGAACACGAGUAGCUUCUAGUCUGGUCUCCUGAUAACCAUUUUUUUGUUGUUGUUGGUGGUGGUGGUGGUGUUUCUUCUUCUCUUUAUUCAGACAUCAGGCAGAGAUACUGUAUGAAGA